CUCCUUCCACAGGAGGUAUCAGAAUCAGAGGUUCCUGCAACUUAUCCUUUUAUUUUUCAAUGCCCCUUGGCAAUCAUUAUUUCACCUGACCGUUUGAUCUUUUCUUUUCAACAUCUUGAAUAUAGGUUCACACGUGGCUGUUAGAUAAGAUGUGAACCAUGACAGGUAGUUCAAUCUUUCUAAGAAACCACAAACCUUCUUUCUUUAUUUUCCUCGGUUCAGGCACCUUUUCUUAUUUCUUUUCUUUUCCUUGUUUUUUUUUUUUUUUUUUUAGCAGGAUCAACCUCGAUUCCUCUCUUACAAUGAACCCCAACAGCUUACCGGCUCGCACUCUGAUAGUGCACUUACUUGAAUUCAACCUCAGUCUGAAUUAUCUCCACCAGAUGCCCCACUCCUGUUUGGGACUUUG
rnacentral:lncRNA from 1 species